UCCGAGGCCCUGACGGGACUGAACCACAA
rnacentral:piRNA from 1 species